rnacentral:rRNA from 1 species
AACGAACGCUGGCGGCAUGCCUAACACAUGCAAGUCGAACGAGACCUUCGGGUCUAGUGGCGCACGGGUGCGUAACGCGUGGGGAUCUGCCCUUUGCUUCGGAAUAACAGUUAGAAAUGACUGCUAAUACCGGAUGAUGUCGUAAGACCAAAGAUUUAUCGGCAAAGGAUGAACCCGCGUAGGAUUAGCUAGUUGGUGGGGUAAAGGCCUACCAAGGCGACGAUCCUUAGCUGGUCUGAGAGGAUGAUCAGCCACACUGGGACUGAGACACGGCCCAGACUCCUACGGGAGGCAGCAGUGGGGAAUAUUGGACAAUGGGCGAAAGCCUGAUCCAGCAAUGCCGCGUGAGUGAUGAAGGCCUUAGGGUUGUAAAGCUCUUUUACCCGGGUAUGAUAAUGACAGUACCGGGAGAAUAAGCUCCGGCUAACUCCGUG